AUGUUGUUUUUCUCUUCCUGCCAUCCUGGCUUCUGUGGAGGCCUGCUGGGAACAGGACUUCUAAAAGGAAAUACGUCUGGAAGGCUGUGGUCCAAGGCCAUUUUUGCUGGCUAUAAGUGGAGUCUCUGGAACCAAAGGGAGCACACACCUCUUCUUAAAAUUGAAGGUGUUUAUGCCCAAGAUGAAACAGAAUUCUAUUUGGGCAAUAGUUAUGCUUAUGCAUACAAAGCAAAGAACAACACACUGAGUCCUGGCACAAAUCAAACAAAACCAGAGUGAUCUGGGGAAAGGUAACUGGGACCCAUGGGAACAGUGGCAUGGUUCUUGCCAAAUUCUGAGGUAAUCUUCCUGCUAAGGCUAUUGGACACAUAAUUCGAGUGAUCCUGCAUGCCUCAAGGGUUUAA